AUACGGAGGAUCCGAGCGUUAUCCGGAUUUAUUGGGUUUAAAGGGGGCGUAGGCGGACGCUUAAGUCAGUUGUGAAAGUUUGCGGCUCAACCGUAAAAUUGCAGUUGAUACUGGGUGUCUUGAGUACAGUAGAGGCAGGCGGAAUUCGUGGUGUAGCGGUGAAAUGCUUAGAUAUCACGAAGAACUCCGAUUGCGAAGGCAGCCUGCUGGACUGUAACUGACGCUGAUGCUCGAAAGUGUGGGUAUCAAACAGGAUUAGAUACCCUGGUAGUCCACACAGUAAACGAUGAAUACUCGCUGUUUGCGAUAUACAGUAAGCGGCCAAGCGAAAGCGUUAAGUAUUCCACCUGGGGAGUACGCCGGCAACGGUGAAACUCAAAUGAAUUGGCGGG
rnacentral:rRNA from 1 species